GACGGAGGGGGCUAGCGUUAUUCGGAAUUACUGGGCGUAAAGCGCAUGUAGGCGGCUUUGCAAGUUAGGAGUGAAAGCCCGGGGCUUAACCCCGGAAGUGCUCUUAAUACUGCUUAGCUUGAGUUCUAGAGGGGAUAGUGGAAUACCUAGUGUAGAGGUGAAAUUCGUAGAUAUUAGGUGGAACACCAGUGGCGAAGGCGACUAUCUGGCUAGAUACUGACGCUGAGAUGCGAAAGCGUGGGGAGCAAACAGG
rnacentral:rRNA from 1 species